rnacentral:rRNA from 1 species
AUUGAACGCUGGCGGCAUGCCUUACACAUGCAAGUCGAACGGCAGCGCGGGAGCAAUCCUGGUGGCGAGUGGCGAACGGGUGAGUAAAGUAUCGGAACGUGCCCAGUCGUGGGGGAUAACGUAGCGAAAGUUACGCUAAUACCGCAUACGAUCUAUGGAUGAAAGCGAGGGAUCGCAAGACCUCGCGCGAUUGGAGCGGCCGAUAUCAGAUUAGGUAGUUGGUGGGGUAAAGGCUCACCAAGCCGACGAUCUGUAGCUGGUCUGAGAGGACGACCAGCCAGACUGGGACUGAGACACGGCCCGGACUCCUACGGGAGGCAGCAGUGGGGAAUUUUGGACAAUGGGCGAAGGCCUGAUACAGCCAUGCCGCGUGCAGGAUGAAGGCCUUCGGGUUGUAAACUGCUUUUGUACGGAACGAAAAGGUUUGGCCUAAUAAGCUGAGCUCAUGACGGUACCGUAAGAAUAAGCACCGGCUAACUACGUGCCAGCCGCCGCCGUAA